CAACUACUCCCUCUGUCCCAAAUUUCUUGUCUUAUAUUUGUCUUGAUACAGAUGUAUCUAAUACUAAAAUGUGACUUGAUACAUCCGUAUCUAGACAAAUCUAAGACAAGAAUUUUGGGAUAGAGGGAGUACUUU
rnacentral:pre_miRNA from 1 species